UGCUUUCAAUAUUUCCCUCUAAGUUGGCUG
rnacentral:piRNA from 1 species